AAAACGAAAUUGUUAGGAAAGAAUCUGUAACUUUCUUCGAUUGGAAGAAGGUUCAAAAUCCAGCUUUCCCAUUAACUAUAAAAUGAGGCCCUAAUCAAUUCUCUUCAAUCCGUCUAUGAAACUGAAGGAAUUCUUUUCUUCUCCGUGUUUGUGGCUGUUGCUCUCUGUAAUUAGUGAAAAAGAAGAAGAAUCUCAAGCGUUACACUCCGUUGAUUUCGAUUACUUUUACUUCCAGCAAACUUGGCACUAAGCUGGACCCAAGCAGAGUUUCCGAUUCAGAUUCUUUCGAUAUUUUUCCUUUUGGGGUUUAGGGGUCGCAUUGUUCGUUCAUUUUCUCCACUUUCCCCCCCAUUCCCAAUCCCUUUUUCCAGUACCUGCAACUCGAUUUCGUGAGAUUUCAUGGUUAGAGUUCGUUGGUGAUUGCGAACAAUUGAAAUGGGGUCGCUCUUGAUUCUGACGUUUCUAUUCGGUUUUGGUUUUGGGGUUGUGGCAAUCCUUGCGGCGGAGGCUCUUGCAGUCUAUAUCAUUUUGAACAAGUUGAGCAAGAGGUCUCAAAAGGACUUAGCUAAAGCCAAUGCCAAGCUAGAGCAAUCCGAGCCAGAUCCUCUUCAAUCCCUUGAAUUUCUUUCCAACAAGCAGGGUUGGGUAUGGAUAUUAGAAUCAAAUGUGCUAGAAGAUAUAAUAGAGAAAGCACCUGGAGAACAAAAGAAAGGGAAAGAUUUCUUGGAGGUAGCUCCUGUAAAAAAGUAUGCAAGAAUCAAGGACCAGACGUUAAUUAUAUCAGAAUCAGAUGGUAAUACGAAAACAAUUCAAUUAAAUGGCUGCACCAUUGAAGCCGUUUCAGCAGCAACCUUGCCUUCAAGAAAAUGGGUGAAAAGGUUCCCUUUAAAAUUGGAAAACAGAACCUCCAUAGUUUAUAAUGAAAGUAAAACAAUCUUCAUUUUUCUUGAAACUUCCUGGGAGAAGGAAUCAUGGUGUAAAGCCCUCCGUUUAGCUUCAUGUGUUGACAAAGAAAGACUGCAGUGGUUUGCUAAUUUACAGAAAGAGUUCCAUAGUUAUACCUCUUCUUUAAGAACUGGGUAUCCUUCAUUUAUGAAGCCCUCUGCAGGGUACUAUUCUGAAGCUACUGAUAAGGAUAUCAAGCCUAACGCUCCUUCGAAGGUUCAGCUCUUUUUCAAAAAACUGGCAAAGAAGACUUCUAAGGCUGCUUCAGAUUAUAAAGUAAAAUUUUCUUCUUCUUCUUUGCGUGAAGAAAAAAACUUUAGUGAGAGGUUUCAUCCGAGUCCAGGUUUUGUUUCGUCGUCGGGCUUAGGGAAGGGAAUUCCAAAGGCGCAGAGUACUAAAAGUUUAUUUGAGGAAGAUAUGGCAACACCAUCAAUGGUUCACUCAGGAAGCCACCAUGGUCAUGCCUCUGUUAUUUCUGAGGCAGAUUCUGAUGACAGAUUCUUGACUGAUGAUGGAACACUUGGUUGGAAUUUGUUGAUGUCAAGAUUCUUUUUUGAUGCCAAAAGCAAUGAAGGGCUAAUGAAAUCCUUGCACGAUCGAAUUCAGAGGAUGUUGUCGAACAUGAGGACUCCAAGUUACAUUCGCGAAGUUAGCUGUACUAAAGUUCAUCCUGGAAACCUCCCGCCCAAUAUCAAUACUAUAAGGGUUCUUCCCUUUGAAUUGAGUGAAGUAUGGGCCUUGGAGGUUGACUUUGAAUACUCUGGAGGCUUUGCCUUAGAUAUCGAAACUAGAAUUGAAGUUCAUGAAUUAGAUCUUCAAAAAAGCGCAGUAGACUCUAAAUCUGAUUCCAGUGAUGUUGGGGAGGUCUCUUCAUUUCUAGAAGUUUAUCUUCGAAAGCAGUUCAGUACCUCUGAAGGAACAGAACAGAACGACGAAGGUGGGUCGGAAAACAGUAAGAACCCCACGUCCUCAUACUCUAGUGGAUCCAAGUGGAAAUCUCUAAUGAAUUCUAUUGCUAAACAGGUUUCUCAGGUGCCGAUCUCUUUGGUACUAAAGGUUGCAUCUCUCCGAGGGACGCUGCGGGUACAUAUAAAACCGCCUCCUUCUGAUCAGCUAUGGUACAGUUUUACAUCCAUGCCAGAUUUGGAGGUGCGAUUGGAAUCAUCGUUUGGGGACCAUAAGAUAUCUAGUGCACAUGUUGCUCAGUUUUUGAACAACCGGCUUAAGGCAGUGAUCAAGGAUACUUUAGUGCUCCCCAACAGUGAAAGUAUAUUCAUUCCAUUCAUGAUGGCCGAGAAGGACGACUGGGUUCCACGGGACGUUGCACCAUUGAUCUGGUUCAACCAAGGAGCUUCUGAUAACAAAUCUUCAUGUGAAAAUCAAAGAUCCAAUCCUGUUGAACCAAAAAAUAGAUCUGAAGCCAGUAAAACCAUCUCCAUUGAGCAUAAAAUACCUCAGAACGAGCCUUCUCAGCCACACACUGACUUGGUAAAUGCAUCAAAGGCUUCAUCAAGUAGUGGUAAUCCAGCUCCAGCUUCAAGUAAGACAUUGGACGAAGAUGAAAUGAAAAUCCCUUUAUUAGAAAAUGACAAAGAAAUAGAAAAUUUGCAGCAAAAUAGAGUAGAGGCGCAGGAGAAUGAAUCACCAUCUAGUUCUAGAAGCUCAUCUGGGCAGGAAAAUCAUAACGCUGAGGAAGAUGAUCCAAAGCCGCCAAGGAGAACAGGAAGAAGAGCAAGAAUGCUAGAAAUAGGGAAGAAGAUGGGGGAGAAACUAGAAGAAAAGAGACGAACCAUUGAAGAAAAGAGCAGGAACAUUGUUGAGAAGAUGCGAGCACCAUAAACUAUGAAACCACAAUAUAUUACAAGAUGGGCGGCACAAAAUGUAUAUCUGAUUCUGAGUGCAGAUCACAGUUCUUCGUUUCUAGCAGAGAACAAAUUUGCAAGCCUUGUUCUUCUUUCUCAAUACUGGAGAGCUUGAAUCAGGUGGAACAGAGGUAACAUUGCUGGUGGCAUGAAAAAAAUCACUAUCUCAUAAAAACAGAGCAAGCUGCAUGAAUUUGACCAAGGUUUACAUACAUUUGGAUGGGAGAAAUUUGCCACAGGCGUACCUUUAACGCUUCAUUAACCCGAAAACCGCGAGAAUAAGCUGUAAUCACAGAACUCCAUUCCAAGAGAUAACACUUCUUGUAGACAUUUCGUCGACCACUUGGCGUGAAGAAGCCAAGUCGUCAGAGCACUCUGGAACACAUGUCGACAAGCGAGGUUUGAACAAACAUG